GGACACCGCCCUUUCACGGCGGUAACAGGGGUUCGAAUCCCCUAAGGGACG
rnacentral:tRNA from 1 species